rnacentral:lncRNA from 1 species
CGGUUACCAGUGCGAAGGGCCGGGAGGCUGGGCAGUCCUGGUGCCCGCCUUGGCCUAGCCCCGGCCCCGGGACGGAAGGGGGCCUCUGGGGUGGCAGCCUGGGCCCAGUAGAGCUUUGCAUCUCUUGGAUAUCUUUCCCGGGCGCAGAAGCUGCGGGGCUUAGGGAGUCGCCAUUGCGCUGGAAAGUCCUCCCGCCCACGGAGACCCCAGCAAACUCCGAGUGUCACACAGUCGCCUCUGGCGACCCGUGCGGGCCGGAGCCGUUCGCGCACAGGCAGGGCGGGUGCUGAGCGUGGAAACGGGGCUGGAAUUGGCCGAGCCAUGCCUUUCCGGGAUGCCCACCGCCAGUCAAAGGGUUGGGGGUGGUCUCUGCACCUUAAGUACUAACCUGCCGCCCACGCGCCUCCUGACCACAGCACCCCGUCGGCUUUCUAAUUCUGUGAGCUGCCCUCGUGGGCGUGGCCUCCCUGUGGAGCUCCCCAUGUGCCUCCCCUUGGUCCAGCCUGCAGCUAGGAAGUGGGUCACAGCGACGGGGCUGGGCUGGGCCAGGCCAGGCUCCGGGAGAUGUGGAAUUGGCGAAACAACUGCCCCAGUAGUAUCCUCCGCCUAGGACUCCAAGAGGUGGCGAAUUGGGGCACUACGCCCGGGAACCAGGGUGGCAGGGCUAGAUGUCCUCUCACCAGACUGCCCAGUGAAGGUGCUGUCACUUUGAUGAAUUAUCAAGGCUUUGUAGUGGGUCUUCUACUGGACAAAGGACAAACUGGAGACUCCCUGGAUCAAAUGUGUUGGUGAGGCACUGAAUCUGAUUGCUGAAAGGUGAUUCAGCUGCAAGUUAGGCAUCAGUUUAGGGUUUUCUAGGCUUGGCAUCUAAAGGGAGUGCCUGCUGUAGCUGAAACCUCAUAGGCCUUCUCUUCCUUCCGAAUUGUUUUCAAGGCCUUGGGGGUACAGAGACUUAGAGAAAAUACAUAGUUGUGCCUCAGACUGAUGGGCCUCAUCUGUUUAAUGGAGAAACACCAAGCACACUCAGUCUGGGCGGAAUUUUAGAGCUCCAUAGUAUAACCACUAUCUAGCUACAUGUGGCAAUUGAGCAUUUGAAAUGUGGCUAGACUGAAUUGAAAUGUGCUGUAUAAAAUAUACACUUAAUUUCAAAGACAAUAUUUUUAAAAUGUAAAAUAUUUCAGUAAUUUAAAAAUAUGGUUUAAAUAUUUUAGAUAUGUUGGGUUAAAUAAAAUAUAUUAGUAAAAUA